UACAGAGGUCUCGAGCGUUAUGCGGAAUCACUGGGCUUAAAGCGUGUGUAGGCGGAUCGGUAAGUACCUUGUGAAAUCCCACAGCUUAACUGUGGAACUGCUUGGUAUACUGCCAGUCUUGAGCCAGCUAGGGGCUACCGGAACAAAUGGUGGAGCGGUGAAAUGCGUAGAUAUCAUUUGGAACGCCAAUGGUGAAAACAGGUAGCUGGGGCUGUGCUGACACUGAGACACGAAAGCCAGGGGAGCGAACGGG
rnacentral:rRNA from 1 species